UUUUUUUUUGAAACAGAGUUUGACUCUGUUACCCAGGGUAGAUUACAAUGGCGCGAUUUCGCCUUACUGCAACUUCCAUCUCCUGGGUUCAAGCAAUUCUCCUGUCUCAACCUCCUGUGUGGCUGGGAUUACA